ACCUGGGUGGCUCAAUGGUUGAGCAUCUGACUUUGGCUCAGGUUGUGAUCCCAGGGUU
rnacentral:tRNA from 1 species